rnacentral:misc_RNA from 1 species
AGAAAAAGGAGGAAGAGAAAAAAGAGGAGCCAAACCAACUCAUCGCUGACGGUGACCAAUGCUAGCUGCAGACCAGCGAACUCCAAUUACGGCUAGGCUGAGUGGAAAAAUGGCGAAAAAGGCAUAAAGGAGAACUGUGAAUUCGCAACGCCUUUUUCACCAUUUCCAUCUGAUUCUUCGUGAUCAAGCGCUCAAUUUCUGACCAACCUAACUACCUUUGGUCUCUGACUAAUGUAAGAGAACAGAGAGCAACAGGGAAAGUAAAGAGUCAAAAGAGUAAUUUUAUUCUUUAUAGCCUGUAAACUUAAUAUUGUAAGGGUUUUUUUUUAAAAUAAAUUAAAUUGAGAG